GGGAAGGUCAUCAUGCUGUGAAAUGAUUGAUAAUCCUGCGGAAAGUGAGUUGAUGCAAGUCUGUCUUGUAGAGUUUGGCAGUGGUGAGUAAAAAAAGGGCCUAGGUGGCAUUUGCAGGUUAUCCAUAUCCCCUUCCAGCAUCUCAACAAUUUGGCUUCAUCUUAAUGCAUCAUAAACCCACUUUACAUAUAUAGCUUGCUUUUCACUUCACCAAUCUCCACGGUGUUUCCAAUUUCGAGCCCUUCUUGUUGAGUGAGCUGAUCAUAUAUACAUGAGGGGUAGUAAAUCUGACUUGAAUUCUCCACUCUUGGAUCCACAUUCCUUCUCCUCCCUGCCAU
rnacentral:lncRNA from 1 species